UUGAAUCGAUUGGCAAAAAAUCACGUGAAUAGUAGAUGGUGAACAAUAACCAUGAACAAUAUUCUUGUCUGAAAUCAAAGAUAUUUGAAGGAGCCUCCAAACGUACGCUCUAGAAGUUGUACAGAUGAUGCUCAAUAUGACCAGUAAUAAAAGAAUUGAUGCUGAAUUAUUAGGGACAAUUAUGCUAUAGGUGGUGGUGAAUUUGGAGGUUUUGGCAACCAACAUGUAUCAACUUUUGGUGGGGGUGCUGGAGGAAAGGAAAAGAGGGUAGAAAGGGAAAAGACCAGCUGGGUGUUGCCUUUAUUUUUUUUAUUUUAUUUUUAUCUUGUAAAUUCUAGAAUCAUAAUGAAAUAGCCUUUUUUUUCUUGUUACUGUGUUACUGGAUUGUUGUUAUUCUUGCUUGUGACUGGCUUAUAUGCAUUGUGGGUUUGUUGUUGGGUUAUUUGUGCUCUUGGUUGUACGUUGAGUAAGGUCUGGCAUGGAAGGGUAUGGAAUUGCUGUUGAGUAAGGGUAUGAAGUUGCUGUUGAGUAAGGUUUGAAGCAUGGAAGGUUUGGUAGAAGGGUUGCUGUUGAGUAAGGUUUGAAGCAUGGAAGGUUUGGCAGAACGGUAUGGAAUUGCUGUUGAGUAAGGUUUGAAGCAAUGAAGGGAGUAGAAAGGAAGGCAUCUACAACAGGAGUAUCUUGAUGUUGCAAGGUGAUAUGGUCUUCAUCCCGUAUCUCUUGCAAUUGGUAUAACCUCUCUCUCUCUCUCUCUCUCUCUCUCUCUCUCUAUGUAUUUGUGGGAAUGUGCUGUCUUGAAAAUGUUAAUGGUCAUUUAUUUCUGUAACCUUUUAAUUCUAUUUUUGUGUCUCAUAUUUAAAAUAGUUUCUUGCUAAAAGCUGUUACAUUCACUGUUGAUCUACAAUUAUCUCAAUCAUGUAUCAUGGGGUGCUAAUCGUUUCAGGGUCUGGAUUUUAUCAUUUAGAACUAACAAGUAACAAAAUUGAAGUAGAAAGAUGGAGAGUCCAUGAGCCUAGUUUGCCAAAGAAUUGUUUUGAAGAACAAUAUUGACCAUGCCAGUAAAGAAGGUUUUAUGUCUGCUUUUAGUUGAAUAUAUAACUCUUCUCUUAGUUGAAGCCAUAUACAAAUGGAUAUCACUAAUGUUAAUUAUAGGUUUCAAGAAAUUUAUGCUCAUAGGCCUGUGUAUCUUUAUUGUGGAAGACUUGUGAUGUGUUCUUCUACUUAACACCCUUGUGUUAGCUGUUUUCUUGGAUUUGGAUUUAACAUUAUUUUCAUCUUGUGAUUUUUCAUGGGGAAGCAUUUGUUUUGAGACACCCUCUUGUUGCGAGUGCUGUAUUUGGAGCUACCAAGUCAGGCUAGCUUCAAGAGCUUAUAAAUGCAUGCCAAGUUAAGCUCACAGUCGAAAUUGUCACAGAAAUCAAUAGAACCCAUUCAAUGUUUCCUAAUUCAUGUCCCUAAUUUAUUUCCUUGGGCAGACCUGUACUUAUAUUGAUGAAAAGGACAAGGCAACUCCCUUGGAAGAAGCAUAAAUAGAACACAAUUUCCUUGUCUAGACUUUGUACUUUUAGGCUGCUGUUUUAUUAGUUGCCAAGCUAAUUUUAAUGAAUCAAAACACAAUUUUAAUGG